GACAGUUUGGCCGAGUGGUCUAAGGCGCUGGCUUCAGGCGUCAGUCCGCAAGGGCGUGGGUUUGAUUCUCACAGCUGUUA
rnacentral:tRNA from 1 species